UACGUAGGGUGCAAGCGUUAAUCGGAAUUACUGGGCGUAAAGGGCGCGUAGGCGGCAAUUCAAGUCAGCUGUGAAAUCUCCGGGCUUAACUCGGAACGGUCAGCUGAUACUGCUUUGCUAGAGUGCAGAAGGGGCAAUCGGAAUUCUUGGUGUAGCGGUGAAAUGCGUAGAUAUCAAGAGGAACACCUGAGGUGAAGACGGGUUGCUGGGCUGACACUGACGCUGAGGCGCGAAAGCUAGGGUAGCAAACGGG
rnacentral:rRNA from 1 species